rnacentral:rRNA from 1 species
AAUGAACGCUGGCGGCAGGCCUAACACAUGCAAGUAGAACGAGUGGCGGACGGGUGUGUCACGUCUGGAACACUCCUCGAUGGAGGGGGAGAACUACUGGAAACGGUACCUAAUACCGCAUACCAUCGGAUGUGACCAGAUGGGCUUAGCUAGUAGGUGGGGGAAAAGCUAACCUAGGCGGCGGUCCCUAGCCGGUCUGAGAGGGUGACCAGCCACACGGGAACUGAGACACGGUCCAGACUCCUACGGGAGGCAGCAGUGGGGAAUAUUGCACAAUGGGCGCAAGCCUGAUGCAGCCAUGCCGCGUGGAUGAAGAAGGCCUUCGGGUUGUAAAGGACUUUCAGCGGGGAGGCGUUACCCGCAGAAGAAGCACCGGCUAACUCCGUGCCAGCCGCCGCGGUAAUAC